rnacentral:lncRNA from 1 species
CCCCGCAGGUUGUCGAGAUGGGGGCACAGGUGCCGACCGGCCGGGCGAGGAGGAGGUUCACCGCGACCCACCGUCGGUCAGACCUGUAAGUGUUCGACUUACGUAUUUUGGACUCCUCUUUUUUUGUUCUUUUUUUUUUAAUUUUUGUUCCUGUAGUGCGGCAUCGGAUGUCGACCCUGGCCAAACUGCCGGCCAGGGAACGGGCGAGCCUGCCCGCGGUUCUGGGGAUGCGGCCCCCCAGACCACAGAGCAGCCAUCAGCUGCAGUCGCG